AUCGCUUCUCGGCCUUUUGGCUAAGAUCAAGUGUAGGAAGAGUGAAUUUGUAUAGAGAAAUUCUUAGGACUCAGGACUUAAUACCCUGACAAAUAUGCCAGGAAUGGAAUUUUGAAUUCUGGAGAUAUAAUGGCUUG
rnacentral:snRNA from 1 species